rnacentral:lncRNA from 1 species
UUUUUCCGAAGAGGAAAUGUUGAUGCGAUGAGAUUUUUCGAGUUGGGGAGCCUGUAAUUAUUUUAAAAUAAAUCAGUGAUCAAAACUUAGUAAUAGAAAUCAAUUUAUUUAGUUUAUAGUAUAGGUAGACGCACUUGAUAUGAGUGAGAUAUCCAUCAUCAGGGUAGGAGUUUUUGCUUUGACUUCUUCACUUGAUAGCUAAAAUACUGAGAAAUAUAUAAAUGUGAAUUAUUAGAUAAAUAAUCACUAAAAACAUAUUGAUUGUGAUUCUGAUUUUAAAAUUUUACUUACUCUCAUGGGAACGAAGGCGGUUGAAGAUUUCUUUGUAGACUAUGUUCUUCACUAUUCGUGGGUGUGAAUCUUCGCCUUUAAUAAUUUUUAGUCCUGCUCUGCUUGUUACACGUGAGAGUGCUACAUAGAGUUGACCAUGUGCGAAGACCGGUUUAGGAAGAUAUAGGAGAACCUCCUUUAAACUUU